AGCUUCCUGAGGGAAACUGUAAAUGAAUCAUUUUUUAGCUUGUCAAACUUCCAUUCCCUUUAUUAAAAAUGAUUAUGAACUGCUGUACGUGAUUACUUCAGCUGAAAACAGACUGGCUGCGUUUGCAUGGGAAUCCAAGACAGAAACUGCCUGAACACUGACCAGAGCUAUAAAUGUUACAAGUCUUGUAGAGAGCUGUCUCCAGGAAUAAUCAUGCAGCACCCACAGAAUAUACUGAGUCACAGAUGCUCUCUGUUUCUGUGUUAGAGCUCAUCAAAAUUCAGACCUUCAGUUCCCCAGAAAAAUCUAACAUUUCAAAGUAGAAUGAAAAUACACAGACUGUUAUAUACAACUUCCAAAUUAUUUUGUUUGGAUCUGUUAAACUGUCCAGCUUCAACAACAUGAAAACACUGUGCCAGAAAUUCAGCUUUUACGUUUUACUACAAUGUAAGAGAAAAAUCUAAUUUUUCAGUUAGGAUCAUGGCAAUGUUUUCCUUCAAAGAGUUACUUCUGAAGGGCCAGAAGUGGGGAGCAGGAGAGGGGAAAGCCUUAGUCCUGGGUCAGUACAAAGGUCUCAGCAUCUGCCUCAGGCACCUGAGCUAGAAGGCUGCCCUUAGCAUGGAGCCCUUAGCUCCUCAUUCCUUCAGGAGCAACACACAACAUUUAGCAAGACUCCUGCUGUGAAUCGUGGUAUUGAUGCAUUGGAAAACCUAUAACAUCUGACUAAUCACUUCUUAAAGAGCCUUUUAAUCAUUUAUCAAGUCCUUCAUAAAAAAUAUGCUGGCGAAACCUUCAAUGUGAACAAGGGUUUCAUAAGAAUUAAUCAGGUUUUGGCUAUCAAUCACUGAAUAUAAGAAGUAUUGAGAAAACAUUAAAGGCUAACAUGGCUUCAAGAGAGACAGAGCUAAGUCUUAGGUCUGUCAUUAAUAACAGAACAAUGUUUUACUUCCCAAAUAAAAACAACACAAAGGACUACAUACCUUUCUCUAGGGUACCAGGUUCUCACUCAAUGUGAAGGAACUCCAAGCAAGUGUUCUAAAAUUACUUAGAAAGCACCAGGAAUUUCCUGGAAAGUAUGAGAAUGGGAAAUUACUAUACAACCACCCUGGAGAUGCUUGGAAGAGAAGAUGACUUGUCCCCCUUGCCCUUUUAUGUAGCUACAUGACUUUUUGAUAUUUGGAGUUCUCCGACAGAAAUGAACCCCUGUUGGAGCGAAAUAAGGACUCAGCAAAACAAGUCAAUUCAAUGUGAAUCACGCUAAAGCCAUUUAUUACAGAAACAAGUCUCCUUAUAUACGUAACCAUAUUCUAAUCACACGUCCAUGCUCCAAGCAUUGAUUCGCUAAAUGAGUUAUCAUGGGCUGACCAUGCACUGGAGUCUCACUGGUGAUACGUCUGAUGAUUCACGCCACACCAGGACCCCGCUGAUUGAGGAACGCCCCUCUUUCUCACAGCAGAUUCUGUUCUCAGCUUCUCAAAGAGGCCUUGAGAUUCCUUUGAGCCUGACUAAUUCAGCAACAAAUCUUUAUCUACAAAACCCCUCCACAAACCCCAAAGGAACAAAAUACAUGUUAAGCCCCACCUUGUAUUUUGUCAAGUCAGUCCAGAUCAGCAAAAUAGAGUUGAUGUGUCCCAAGACACUAAAGUAACCAUUUGGAUUCCACAGAAAUAACCCAUGGUGCUUAUUAAGAAAACAAUAAAAAUUGUCUAGACAUUUUGGAUAAAGAAAUAAGGUUUACUUUAAGCUCUCAAAACUUUCAGUCUAUUGUGUUCACAUUUCAGCCUGCUCCAGGUUUUCUGGGUUAUCUAACACAGCCAAGCUAAAGAAAGAAGCUGUUCAGUUUGUCAGAGAUCUCAAUUGGUCAAAUAUUCCCAACAAAACUAGCAACAUGGCUGAUACAUAAUUCCUGAUUGAGCUGGAGAGGGCUUUCUGUUUUUAUUUUGUGUUUGUGUGUGAUAAUAAGCAUCUCUGGGUUGCUAGGAAGUAUCUUUCGAAAUUGAACUGCACUAUUGAAAUUAAUGAUAUUAUAUGGAAGGAGACUGUACGUGUGGCACAAGGAGUAUGGUAGUGAAAAAUAAGUGCGAAAGUAGAAUCUGGUUCAUCUUUUGAUUAGAAGAAUUUCAAAGUGGGAAAAAAAAAAAAGAAAAAAAAAAAUCAAUACACACAGCAACCCUGGAUGCUGGGAGAACAUGUUUUAUUACUGACAAAAUUGUGUUUACGUGAAGACCCUCAGCAGCAUUUGAAAGAGAAUAUUAACUCUGUGCCAGUCUGGCUAGAGCACACAGCCAAAUUUGAAGCUGUGACACAGAAUAAACAGGCUCUAAUAAACUAAUACUGCUGUUCAAGCUCCCUGCACAUGGUUGAAAAACUUCAUUCUCACUUCUGCACUUGGCAGAAACAGCUUCUAAAGAAGAAAAAUGGAAGAGAAAGAAACUGAAGAGUAAUAUGAAAGAACUACUUUGAAAUAGUUACAUCCAGCUAUGUUUUUCCAGAAUGUGUGAUUUGUUUGCAGCACAAACGCCAGAAAUAUGCAUGGAUGUUAUCACUUGCAAGUAUGCAGCAGUGCAAAGUUCCUGGAGUCUACUAUGAUGGGGACAAGUGAAAUCAAAUGCUUAAAGUUCACUGAAUGGCGGGAAUUAGAGCAAAAGGGAAAGAGAAAGCUCCAGAAAGCCACAGCUUCCUCAGAUAAGUGAGAGGUGGACAGUAGGCUGAAUCAGUUUUACACCUUGUCCCUAACACUCCCAACCAGUUAAACUAACUAGAAGCAGCGAAAAGACACCAUCAAAGCAGAAUGUCGCCUGGAAACCCGAAUGAUCCUUUUAAAGUUAUUCCUGCAAGACUCAGCUAAAUAUUGCUCCAAAAACUACUAGGUAAAAUGACAGAGUCUAUUAGUCACUAGACUUUGCAGCAUUGGCACCAUCAGAGCUGUAUCACCACACAAAUACACCAGGAUUUUCUAACUUAGGAGAGUCAGGAAACCAAAGCCAAUUUGGAAUCUACCUUGCUUUACGGACCAGAGCAAAUAUUUCUUGUUAAGAAAUCACCUCUCAUUCUCUGUUGCAUUAAAUCAAAUCUGUUGCCCAUCAUCCUCAGGAGUUUUUGAACAUUCUGGCUACAUAUAUACAGAGGGGAGAAAUUUCCUUUUGCGACACUAAAAAAAAUGAAAAAGCCUUGCAAGUGGGCACACUUCUACUGACUUCAAUGAAGCCUCACCAAAUUUUAUCAUCAAAACAUUUGGUCCUCUCUUUUGACCAUAUUCUGGAGAACAUAUAUUGAGCACGCAACCAACAUAAGAGAAUAUACUAAUAAGAUUUAAAUUAGCAGUAACAUUAACUUCCUCUUUUAAUUAACAGGUUUUAAUUACAUUCCCAGUUCUAGGAAAGCUGCAGAUUUCAGGCUGUAAUUAUUCUGUCUAGUAAAAUGUUGAUGCAUGCGAUAUAGUAAAGUGCCUUCUGGAUUCAUCACUGAUCUGUAGCCAGGGAAAUGCUGUCUCUUUUGAAGUUAAAAUCAUGAUUCACAUGUGAUAGAUUUAUUAUUGGAAUGCACAGGAUAAAAGUCAGAAACAACAUAAAUCUGUUGGGGAGGUUGUGAUUAUUUUCCUCUAGUUAGGUGCCUCUCUGUGUUAGGAACUUCCUGGAGCUGGUUGUUGUAUUAGUUGCAUUUGGUAGUUUGCCCCCUUAAAACUUCUGCUAAGAUUAGAUCAGGGUUUUCUAACAGGUAUUGCUAGGGAAAACUAUUUGUAUGUUAUCCAGAAUGUGCUCCCACUAAUAUCACAAUAUUUGAUCUUGGUCAACAUCAAUGAUAAAUAGAAAAAUUCAAUCUGAUGUACAAAAGUUGUGGUUUACUGCAUGCUGGUUCCAAUGAUUGAAAUAACAAAAGCCAGUUUAUUACCUCAGGAAGAAAAAUCACAUUGCUCAAGCCUUAAUUCAGCAUAAACGUCAGGCUACCUAAAGCACUAGAACUAUUUUCAAGCAUCAGUUCAAGUUUUCAUGCUUACACAAUAGCUUGGACAAAUUCACAGGUUUAGUGAUAACCUAGAAAACAACUGGCUAAGGCAUACAUCUAAACAGAGAUGCAACCUGCAGCUAAAAUAAUUUUGUCUCACUAUUUGAAUAUUGACAGGAUAGAAAAGUGCUAAAGAACUGAGGAAGCUGUUAACAAUCACACUUAUGAAUUCAUUUGGACAAACUUCCAUUUAUUCCAGAUGAAAGAUUCCAUCCUGUGUCCUUGAGCUAUCUUUAACAUAGAAGUGUUGUAAGCCUAAAGCUUUAUGACAAUGAAGACCUAACCUAAGACCUAGAUUGGCCCAUUAUUACCAGUUGGUUGCCAUUAGCAUCUGAUUUUCAUGUGGGACAGUAGUUAGGUUAUCACAGCUAAGCACAAGCACAAAAUGGUUUUGAAAUUGCCCUUUGGCAAGAACAUUUCAGAGUUGGUUUAGAUCCAAUUAGAAUUUUCCUGUGGUUCAAACCAACUGAUGACUGUUUUAGAGAUAUCAAAAACCCUUCUGUGCCUGUACCACAGAGUACAGCCGACAUUGCUUUAGCUCAUUUGCUUUUUUUCAUCAGUUUAACAUCAACAUUAAGUUCACUAGUGAAAGUGACAUUGAUUUGAAAGUAAAAUGAAAAGGAAGUUAAAUAAAAAAGAUGUGAUGGAAGAGUAAGAGGACAGCAAACUGCUCCAGUGGUAAGUCAGGUAUCAGAAUGGUGAAUCAAACCCUAAACUCCAGCUUCUCAACCAUUUACCAACUUCUAGUUGGCUGUUUGUAGAUAUUAUCAUUCUAAAAAUGAGAAGCCUGCUGUGAUCCUGAAUUUUGGGGGAGGGGGAGGCUUGUCCAGAAAUAAUGAUUUGAAACCUGAAGAGUCCAAUGACUCCCACAGUAGCAGUUGCUCUCUUAAGGCAAGAAAAGAAGCAUGUUCAAAACUAGGUGCCUAAUAUGAGGCAUCUGUUCCUAACCUGAAUGUUUUGCUUUACACUAAAAUUAGGUUGGUGAAUGCCUGGUUUGAGAUUCAGGUACAGACUGAAUACUUUAGAACUAACAUAUUUGGAAAUGUAAACAAUUAUUAAAUAUUAAAAGUAAAACAGAUGUCUGAUUAGUCAUUUUCUUCAUUUGUGUUGCAAAAUCCUACAAAUAUAGGCCUUGCAGAUUGAGAAUUUAAAAGGUGCAUAGGGGACAGCUGUGUUCUGAGAAGACAGUACAAAAAAACUUGUUCUGGAUAUAAAAGCAUGUCCUGCCACUUCUGGCUUUCGGAUCCCUAUAAACCAGCCACAGGAGUAAAUCAGGAAGAACAGAGAGGUCCUGCGUGUUGUCCAGAGAACUCAUGUUAGGGUUCUUCAUGGAUUCACAGUCUUUAGAGAGAGUUACAUGAUAAAAGUUUUAGAAGUCAAGCCUAAAGAAGGAGGCAUUUUCUUUGCUAAACCUCCCAGAACACCACCAGCGUAACUGAGGAUGGCUGACACCUGUCAUUUGGGACCAGGUGAGCAUUUGGUCUUGAAUUUAUAUACCACCAGUAUUUCAAGACAGCCUAAGCACUAAACUAUAAUUAUCCCAGAAUCACAGCAACAUUUCAGAGUAAUACUUCUCUGCAAUGAUUACAACUAGAUUUCAUAUAAAACAUCUACAAUAUUAAAAAAAAAAAAAAGUCUUUAUGACUAGUUUCAUCCUAUCACGGCAAACAUCUGAAUUCCUCUUCUAUUUUCUUUUGAAGUAUUAUAGAUUAUGGGGUCCUUUAUUGAAAAUGCUGAAAAGAAUAAUGGUUGCAUGUAAAUUACAGCAAUUUCCAUGUUUUCUAUAUUUAUACUCCUUAGGUUUCCUAAGAAAUGUAGAUCUAGUGCCAUUUUCUUCUGACAGUAGAAAUCAUCAUAUUUGGAAGAUAUGAGCAUACAUUCCUUGAGAGGGAUCCAUAACAGUUCAGCUUAGCUUCGCAGAUUGACAGAUUCCUCUGAGUGAUGAAGUUUUAUUUCAGAUUUGGCAUCCCAGUGAGGAGUGUUGAGCUCCUGUGGAUUUUAUCUUACUUCAGCUGUCUGAGUGGAGUCCCACAUUUCUUCAGGAAUGCUUGACUUGUUUUGAUUGCAAUUCUCCUUUAAUGAGUAACAUGUAACAAAUCCAACAAAUCUCAGCACCCGCUGAUUCAGAGUCAUGUCGACAUCACUAUGAAAACCUCCCAACAUCAUCUUGUAAAAUGGUUCUCUGUCACACUCAGCAGCUGUUGGCAGCAGGCCAACUGUAACCUUAAUUCCUCAGUUUUUACUCGAAACGAAUUAUUACCAUUCUGUUUCCCUCCAGUACUCAGGACAGAUGCCACUAAAUGGAGGUUCACAACAAAUUCCCACUUACCCUACGCCACCCCAGUGCUUACAGAAAGGUACAAAUUGGCACAGACUGCUACCUUGCAGUCUUUUCACCAGCUACAGUGCUUUCUUGCUACAAGGAAGCUUUGGUGUGACUAAAUGAGCUGGCACAACUGGACUCUGAACAUGCUUUUGUCUUUAGUUUUUUCAUUGCUGUUCUGAAGCAUUGUUUUUAUUACAAAGGAAGCAAACCAAAAACAUAUUCUGUAUCUGCAUAAUAAAAACAUUUAGACACACGUAGUCCUUUGUUACAAGCAGGUGAUUAAUAAUAAUAACACAGAGAAAGUGUGGGUAUACAACCCUCACUUUCUCAGAGAGUUUAAUGACUCCCAGCCUUCAGUCACGCACGUGACAUCAAGACUCAGAUAUUACAACGUGUGCUAUCACUGACAUGCUGUUAAGUGACUUAAAUGCCAUUUCUUACUUCAGUAGCAAAACUCAGCAGAAAAGAUGCAAUCUAUCAAUAUUAUUAAUGAAAAGCUUAAUGCUUAGGCACGUGUACUCAUAGCAGCUUUCUGUUCCAAACUUUGAAGCUGCCCUGAUUAAAAUCUAGUGAAUGUGCUUUCCUCCUCCCUUCCCACCCACCUUGUAUCUAAUCCCAUUCUGUCAGUACAGCAGAGAGAUGAGGCUUGAAUCAUUAAAGAAAUCUCGGUGGAAAGGGCAAUUAUAAAGCUGCAUUGCCUCCAUUCCUUCCGUUCUUGCUUUCUUCUUCAACAAACCAGACAAGCAUCCCCCCAUUGCUAGCUUUCCUUGGAGCCUUCUCCUGUCUAAAAUCUGGCUCUUUUGAAAAAGUCUCACAGCACCACUGCAGCCCUACAACCUCAGCUCUUCUGGAUGUCCUGUCUCCUGUGUUUCCAGAGCCAGGCUUAAGAUUCUCUGUGUAACCUCACUGACCAGGUUCUCCAGGUGGCAAGCGGGAAAGUCCUAUGGCUCAAAGAAAAAGCAGAGUCGAAAAAUAUCACAUGAACAGUGGCGAAGCUCAACCUACAGGAUUCUUGGCUUUCUACCAUCCCUGCAUAGUUGUUUUUUUGUUGUUUUUGUUGUUGUUGUUGUUGUUGUUUUUUACUUCAGUGCAAAAGAGUAUAACACACCAUGAGAUCUAAAUGCAUAUGCUACCUCACAUCACUAGUGGUACAUAUAAAUCUCACUCAAAGAUGGAAAGCAAUAGUAGCCAGUACAUAUUUCCCUUCACCUCUUCCGUUGAGUUUUUUUUGUUUGCUUUUAUUUUUCAUAACUGGAGCUUAAAGAGAAUCUUGAGGGACUUAGAGGUAAGGGAAGUUGUCUUUAAUACUCCAACUUUUCACACAAGCUGAAGUGCUGCCCUUCAGAUAUUUACAUAAAAUUCAGAUGCUGGUAAAUUCCAGUGAUCAGCAGCAGAUUAAGAUUUCUUCUAUUUAUUGAUAUGAUCAUAGAAAACAGGUGGCUGGAACUGGUAACUAGUUCACUCCUUAAAGAUUCCCUAAUGAAAUGAAACCAAAGUUUUGUGGCUUUUUGCAUUCAAGAUUACUAUUCAUUGGUGAUGAUACUGCCCGUUAUACCACUACAAACUUUCUUUGGAAUUACAAUUGAUGGAGUUCUGCACUCUCAAAUGUGACUUCUAGGCAUAAGUUUAGGAGUGACUGCUGUGCCAUAAGCCAGUUUGUAUAUCACCAUGCAGCCACAGAUCCACAAGGCAAAGCUGGAAACCAGUUGCAAUACAGGCAUAUUAAGAAAGGCCAAUAAUAACAGAUUGAAUAGAAACAGUUGGAUUCAUUAAGUCUUGAUACCAGCAUAAGGAUUCAUUUACCUACCCACACGGUUAACCUGCUCUGAAGUGCGCACAAGAAUGGGUAAAUUAUCUUUUCCAAUGCUUCUGCGUUUCAAAUUACAAGCUGGUGUUGCUACCAACUCUGUUCUGACAGCAUCACCUUCCUGAGACAGCCAGCAAAGUACUCACAUUGCCUAAUAGGUUUCAUCUUGAGAACAGCAACUGUAACAGCACUUCAUCUUUCAUCUUCACUCAGUGACGCUUCCAUAAAUCUAUUUAUAUUCUGUUCUCUCCUAGUCUGCUUUCUGAUUUUCAAAUGCAUUGUCCUCUACUUCACAAGGUCAAAGCAAAGACUCUUAACAUGUAUUGCUGAUAGCUACCUCAGUUUACUCCAAACAGCAACAGUAGAAGACCUUUCCUUGCCCAUUUCUAUACUCUCUGUUAAUGACCGCGGAACAAGUAACAGAUGGACCAAUUCUAAGAGCAGCAUAUGUACUGAACUGAAUGCUGGGGGAAGCAGAAACAUCUCUGUGUGCAACAGGAUGACAAGAAUUCAUCACAGCAAACAGCCAUUUCAAAACUGAAGUCAGCACUAGAAAUAACUGUUAUAUCAAGAAACAACCACGCUGCGAUUCAAAGCCUUCCCAUACAGUGUCUUAUCUAUGUCAUGCCCAAACCCCACAUGGGCAGAGGUCAGAGCGUGGUUUAGUAACUCUCUGUGAACUGCAGCACUUCCUUUCAGGAGCUGAGCCCCUGAACUCAUCUUGCUGCACUUGCUCUAGAGGGACAGGACACCCACCGACUGAACCAGACAAAAGGCAGCAUUCAAGGGAUGGAAAGCACAGGUCACCAGAGGGCUGCAAAUGGCAGAUAAAUUGGAAGGGGAUUAGCUAACUGAAAAGUGAUGGGUAGAGAGAACACUCAAGGGAAAGUAGUUGGGAGACAAGCUGACAGAAGAGAUAAAAGGCAGCCACAUUUGGAGUCAAGGUGAGAUAAAUAAGGGGCAGAGGAAGACUUGGAGCAGAGAGCACACCAGCACUGGGGAGGAACAGUACUGAGGAAAUAUUCCUGCCUCUGCAAGAUUCUGACUGUGACUUCACCUGCAGUGUCUCCCAGUGACUGCAGAGGAGACAAUGGUGUCCUGCUGCUGUGUGUCCAGUGUUUGCUUUUGGGGAAGAAGCAGAAAACAUGUAUAAAAAAUAUGCAGCAAUAGGCAAUGUGACAAUUGCUUUAACCAAAUGCAACAGAAAAUAUGUAACAUUAUUUAUUCUUUAAAAUAAGUAAUAAAGAACAUAAUUGCAAAAGAA